rnacentral:lncRNA from 1 species
CAGAGAUCACAGUAGAUUACUGUCCCAUAACAACAGAGAUCACAGUAGGUUACAGCCUCAUAACAACAGAGAUCACAGUAGGUUACAGCCUCAUAACAACAGAGAUCACAGUAGAUUACAGCCUCACAACAACAGAGAUCACAGUAGGUUACAGCCUCAUAACAACAGAGAUCACAGUAGAUUACAGCCUCAUAACAACAGAGAUCACAGUAGAUUACAGUCCCAUAACAACAGAGAUCACAGUAGGUUACAGCCUCAUAACAACAGAGAUCAAAGUAGAUUACUGUCCCAUAACAACAGAGAUCACAGUAGAUUACAGCCUCACAACAACAGAGAUCACAGUAGGUUACAGCCUCACAACAACAGAGAUCACAGUAGAUUACUGUCCCAUAACAACAGAGAUCAUAGUUGGAUACGGCCUCAUAACAACAGAGAUCACAGUAGAUUACAGCCCCAUAACAACAGAGAUCACAGUAGAUUACUGUCCCAUAAAACAGAGAUCACAGUAGAUUACAGUCCCAUAACAACAGAGAUCACAGUAGAUUACAGCCUCACAACAACAGAGAUCACAGUAGGUUACAGCCUCAUAACAACAGAGAUCACAGUAGAUUACUGUCCCAUAACAACAGAGAUCACAGUAGAUUACAGCCUCAUAACAACAGAGAUCACAGUAGAUUACUGUCCCAUAACAACAGAGAUCACAGUAGAUUACAGGCUCACAACAACAGAGAUCACAGUAGAUUACUGUCCCAUAACAACAGAGAUCACAGUAGAUUACUGUCUCAUAACAACAGAGAUCACAGUAGAUUACAGCCUCACAACAACAGAGAUCACAGUAGAUUACUGUCCCAUUAAAACAGAGAUCACAGUAGAUUACGGUCCCAUAACAACAGAGAUCACAGUAGAUUACUGUCUCAUAACAACAGAGAUCACAGUAGAUUACAGGCUCACAACAACAGAGAUCACAGUAGAUUACAGCCUCACAACAACAGAUAUCACAGUAGGUUACAGCCUCACAACAACAGAGAUCACAGUAGGUUACAGCCUCACAACAACAGAGAUCACAGUAGAUUACAGCCUCACAACAACAGAGAUCACAGUAGGUUACAGUCCCAUAACAACAGAGAUCACAGUAGAUUACUGUCUCAUAACAACAGAGAUCACAGUAGAUUACAGGCUCACAACAACAGAGAUCACAGUAGGUUACAGCCUCAUAACAACAGAGAUCACAGUUGGUUACAGCCUCACAACAACAGAGAUCACAGUAGAUUACAGCCUCACAACAACAGAGAUCACAGUAGGUUACAGCCUCAUAACAACAGAGAUCACAGUAGAUUACAGCCUCAUAACAACAGAGAUCACAGUAGAUUACAGUCCCAUAACAACAGAGAUCACAGUAGGUUACAGUCCCAUAACAACAGAGAUCACAGUAGAUUACAGCCUCACAACAACAGAGAUCACAGUAGGUUACAGCCUCAUAACAACAGAGAUCACAGUAGAUUACAGCCUCACAACAACAGAGAUCACAGUAGAUUACAGCCUCAC